CCAGAAGCUCUGAUUUGUCGAUUGGAUUUCGCCGGAAGUCUCCGUUAUCGAUAUCGAAGAAAAGGAUGUUCGAAUCUGGAUUCAAUUUGUUCUUUUUACUAUUGCCACUACUCAUCCUUCAAUUUUUGCCUAGAAUUUCAGCAAUAAGGAAGGAUAUUGGCUUUCAAGAAAUAAAAAUUUGCAGAAAUACAGUUCAAGGAAGAUUUUUACUAUCUGAUGACAACGG
rnacentral:misc_RNA from 1 species